rnacentral:rRNA from 1 species
AAGGACGUGCUAAUCUGCGAUAAGCGUCGGUAAGGUGAUAUGAACCGUUAUAACCGGCGAUUUCCGAAUGGGGAAACCCAGUGUGAUUCGUCACACUAUCAUUAACUGAAUCCAUAGGUUAAUGAGGCGAACCGGGGGAACUGAAACAUCUAAGUACCCCGAGGAAAAGAAAUCAACCGAGAUUCCCCCAGUAGCGGCGAGCGAACGGGGAGCAGCCCAGAGCCUGAAUCAGUGUGUGUGUUAGUGGAAGCGUCUGGAAAGGCGCGCGAUACAGGGUGACAGCCCCGUACACAAAAAUGCACAUGCUGUGAGCUCGAUGAGUAGGGCGGGACACGUGGUAUCCUGUCUGAAUAUGGGGGGACCAUCCUCCAAGGCUAAAUACUCCUGACUGACCGAUAGUGAACCAGUACCGUGAGGGAAAGGCGAAAAGAACCCCGGCGAGGGGAGUGAAAAAGAACCUGAAACCGUGUACGUACAAGCAGUGGGAGCACGCUUAGGCGUGUGACUGCGUACCUUUUGUAUAAUGGGUCAGCGACUUAUAUUCUGUAGCAAGGUUAACCGAAUAGGGGAGCCGAAGGGAAACCGAGUCUUAACUGGGCGUUAAGUUGCAGGGUAUAGACCCGAAACCCGGUGAUCUAGCCAUGGGCAGGUUGAAGGUUGGGUAACACUAACUGGAGGACCGAACCGACUAAUGUUGAAAAAUUAGCGGAUGACUUGUGGCUGGGGGUGAAAGGCCAAUCAAACCGGGAGAUAGCUGGUUCUCCCCGAAAGCUAUUUAGGUAGCGCCUCGUGAAUUCAUCUCCGGGGGUAGAGCACUGUUUCGGCAAGGGGGUCAUCCCGACUUACCAACCCGAUGCAAACUGCGAAUACCGGAGAAUGUUAUCACGGGAGACACACGGCGGGUGCUAACGUCCGUCGUGAAGAGGGAAACAACCCAGACCGCCAGCUAAGGUCCCAAAGUCAUGGUUAAGUGGGAAACGAUGUGGGAAGGCCCAGACAGCCAGGAUGUUGGCUUAGAAGCAGCCAUCAUUUAAAGAAAGCGUAAUAGCUCACUGGUCGAGUCGGCCUGCGCGGAAGAUGUAACGGGGCUAAACCAUGCACCGAAGCUGCGGCAGCGACGCUGAUGCGUUGUUGGGUAGGGGAGCGUUCUGUAAGCCUGUGAAGGUGUGCUGUGAGGCAUGCUGGAGGUAUCAGAAGUGCGAAUGCUGACAUAAGUAACGAUAAAGCGGGUGAAAAGCCCGCUCGCCGGAAGACCAAGGGUUCCUGUCCAACGUUAAUCGGGGCAGGGUGAGUCGACCCCUAAGGCGAGGCCGAAAGGCGUAGUCGAUGGGAAACAGGUUAAUAUUCCUGUACUUGGUGUUACUGCGAAGGGGGGACGGAGAAGGCUAUGUUGGCCGGGCGACGGUUGUCCCGGUUUAAGCGUGUAGGCUGGUUUUCCAGGCAAAUCCGGAAAAUCAAGGCUGAGGCGUGAUGACGAGGCACUACGGUGCUGAAGCAACAAAUGCCCUGCUUCCAGGAAAAGCCUCUAAGCAUCAGGUAACAUCAAAUCGUACCCCAAACCGACACAGGUGGUCAGGUAGAGAAUACCAAGGCGCUUGAGAGAACUCGGGUGAAGGAACUAGGCAAAAUGGUGCCGUAACUUCGGGAGAAGGCACGCUGAUAUGUAGGUGAAGCGACUUGCUCGUGGAGCUGAAAUCAGUCGAAGAUACCAGCUGGCUGCAACUGUUUAUUAAAAACACAGCACUGUGCAAACACGAAAGUGGACGUAUACGGUGUGACGCCUGCCCGGUGCCGGAAGGUUAAUUGAUGGGGUCAGCGCAAGCGAAGCUCUUGAUCGAAGCCCCGGUAAACGGCGGCCGUAACUAUAACGGUCCUAAGGUAGCGAAAUUCCUUGUCGGGUAAGUUCCGACCUGCACGAAUGGCGUAAUGAUGGCCAGGCUGUCUCCACCCGAGACUCAGUGAAAUUGAACUCGCUGUGAAGAUGCAGUGUACCCGCGGCAAGACGGAAAGACCCCGUGAACCUUUACUAUAGCUUGACACUGAACAUUGAGCCUUGAUGUGUAGGAUAGGUGGGAGGCUUUGAAGUGUGG